UACGUAGGGUGCAAGCGUUGUCCGGAAUUAUUGGGCGUAAAGAGCUCGUAGGCGGUUUGUCGCGUCUGCUGUGAAAAUCCAGGGCUUAACCCUGGACCUGCAGUGGGUACGGGCAGACUAGAGUGCGGUAGGGGAGAUCGGAAUGCCUGGUGUAGCGGUGAAAUGCGCAGAUAUCGGGAGGAACACCGGUGGCGAAGGCGGAUCUCUGGGCCGUAACUGACGCUGAGGAGCGAAAGCAUGGGGAGCGAACAGG
rnacentral:rRNA from 1 species